CUGUCGCUGUCAGUCUUGCAAAACAAUGUAUUCUUAACAUGGUAUUUCACCAACGGCGUGAGUCGAAGGAUCUCCCCAGCCGGACCGGACCACCCAUCCACCAUGAUGUACGUGAUGAAGAAAGACGCCUUCUGAGGUAUGGAUAGUGCUAUCGUGUUCAGAAACCUGUUUGACAGCACAACCACAAUUCUUAGAGAGUGCACACACUGAAAAGGACCAUGAUUCCAUUUGUUGGUAACUCGUGUUUUAAGUCUACUACAACACAUGAGCAACAUCGUUAGAGAGGAUGUCAAGUUUAUGCCAGAACUUCGGAGAUUCUUAGCAUUAUUAGAACAUUCUGAAGAGAGUGCAGUUCAGUGUUUGCAAAGCUCUAUAAUUGAUAAUGGUGGCUGAACGUUGACCUUGACACAGAGUAAGAGAAGAGGGUGGGGUCGAAAUAAAACACACCCUAAAACUGACGAGGAUGUGACAAAAGUCUUCAGCUGCUGAAAUGCAGAUCCUGUUAGAAUACUUCCGAAGAAUAUGUUGACGACCACGAAAUAAUAGUACUUCGCAGCUGC
rnacentral:lncRNA from 1 species